rnacentral:rRNA from 1 species
AUUGAACGCUGGCGGCAGGCCUAACACAUGCAAGUCGAGCGGAUGAAGAGAGCUUGCUCUCUGAUUCAGCGGCGGACGGGUGAGUAAUGCCUAGGAAUCUGCCUGGUAGUGGGGGACAACGUUUCGAAAGGAACGCUAAUACCGCAUACGUCCUACGGGAGAAAGUGGGGGAUCUUCGGACCGCCCGCUAUCAGAUGGGCCUAGGUACGAUUAGGUAGGUGGUGAGGUAAAGGGUCACCAAGGCGACGAUCGUUAACCGGUCGGAGAGGAUGAUCAGUCACACUGGAACUGAGACACGGUCCAGACUCCUACGGGAGGCAGCAGUGGGGAAUAUUGGACAAUGGGCGAAAGCCUGAUCCAGCCAUGCCGCGUGUGUGAAGAAGGUCUUCGGAUUGUAAAGCACUUUAAGUUGGGAGGAAGGGCAGUAAGUUAAUACCUUGCUGUUUUGACGUUACCGACAGAAUAAGCACCGGCUAACUUCGUGCCAGCCGCCGCAGUAAAAC